GAGGGGUGCAAGCGUUAUUCGGAAUCAUUGGGCGUAAAGGGUACGCAGGCGGCAUGUUAAGUCAAUCGUUAAAUCUUCCGGCCUAACUGGAAGCUUGCGGUAGAUACUGGCGUGCUAGAGGAUGAGAGAGAGAAGUGGAAUUCUCGGAGUAGCGGUAAAAUGCUUGGAUCUCGAGAGGAACACCAAUGGCGAAGGCAGCUUCUUGGCUCAUUCCUGACGCUCAGGUACGAAAGCGUGGGGGGAGCAAACAGGAUUAGAUACCCUGGUAGUCCACGCCCUAAACGAUGAUCACUAGACGUCAGCUUUGUUUUACAGAGUUGGUGUCGUAGCUAACGCGUUUAAGUGAUCCCGCCUGGGGACUACGGUCGCAAGAUUA
rnacentral:rRNA from 1 species